AACUUUGUUCAAAAUACUACAUAACCCCAUACCGUUUCCUUGAACUUGUCUCAGAGAAGGAAAGAUCCUGUGUCUAGUACCUAUGCGGACUGUUCUCAGGAGAUGAGCAGGAAGAAAAUGAAGCAUCUGAUCUGCUUCCUGGGUUUUUUCCUCAUUUCUGAAGUAGGAAGUUUUGAUCUUGUUAUUGAUGGAAUCCCAGAUGAAGUGGAGAAUUUAAUUGACCUGGAAAUCAAUGGGUUCCCUUCAAGCUCCAAGACAAGAAGUGACAGGCACCAGG